UUGAAAAGUGAAUUGGCAUACAUGCAAAGCAAUUUUCUUAAUAAAGUUCCAUUAUCAUAUGAUUUAAGUUUGCACUCCUAUCUUGUGUUUGGUUACUAAUUUAUUACUUUAUUUUCAUGGUUUUGGCUUGGUUAUAUCACUUUCUGGUAUGUGUCUUCUUAACUUAUUUCUGCAUUUUAAAAUACUUGAUUUGAAGUUCACAGGUAUACUGUUGGCAAGAUCACACCAGUGCCUAUGCGUGAAGUUCGACAUUCU
rnacentral:misc_RNA from 1 species